GUCAAUGCUUUCUCUCUCUAAACCAUUUGAGUCAUCCCUGUUGGAUCGAACUUCCUAAAGUAGAUAUAAUAUAACACAACUUCCCCGUGCCAUCCAUACCUUCAUUGGUUCCUACAGCUUACUGAACAUCUUCGAAAUUCUUUAUUUGAUGUUGAAGAUCUUCACAAUCUGGCCCCAGCAUGCUUUUCCAACUUCAUUUCUACUUCUCCCCUCAUGCACACUGAAGCAGCCACAGUGAGCUUCUCACUUCCUCUCUGAGAGCUCGCAUUUCUACUCCACGUGUCAAAAUGCGUCAUCUCCCCGAGUGGAAUGUGGUAACUUCCGUAAAGGAAUAAAGAGAAGCUGCCAGGGCUGCUGGCAAUUGCAGAGUUCAGAAAUGCUUCCUCUGAGUGAGCACACUCAGCCCAGCGGGUGCAGAGCCCUGUCUCCACCCUGCCCACCAAGGAGCUUAAGUGGCAGGCAAACUGGGCCAAAAACACCCCUUUCCCAUGGAGAGGCAUCUCCAGUGCAGGGCUGGACUGAGAGGCAUCUCCAGUGCAGGGCUGGACUGAGAGUCAUCUCCAGUGCAGGGCUGGACUGAGAGUCCAGUUAGACCUCAAGAAGAGUUGGCAGGAGGUCAGCGUGGGAGGUUACAUCUCCUUAUGGACGUAGUGCAAAGUUUGCUAUGAAAUAUAAUUAUACAUUGGAGAAAAGUAUGUCUGCAUAUCAAGAAUAAAAUGAAAAUAAAAUGUCCUUCAGGUAUUGCUGUAGCACAACAGAAAGAACAGUGGGCCAGAAGACAGGGAGGUCUGGGUCUAGAAGCCCAGAGACUCCACAUCCCCUGAGUUACACAUCCCCUUUCUGGUUGCCAUGAGUCAUCACGCACCUUCUGCCCAGAGGAGAGUUUUAUUCAUGCCUGCUUGAAAAGGAAUCGCCUGUGCCUGCUGGGAAACGCCGUGCAAGUUCCUCCAUCUGUUUCCAAGACUUAACAUUCCUUGGUGACAGUGCAAUGGAUGAAUCCAGCCUGGUGGCAGGGCCAUGCUGGGAACUUGAUUUCUAAUGUCAAUCACUGGAAUGCCCUUCUAGUAAGGAAGAGGUGCCCAAGCUUCUGUUUGAGUUAACACAGACCUUUCCAGGUCAGGUGUAGAAUCUGGAGUGAUGAAUGGAAGUGCUGGAAAGGAAAUGAAGACCAGUGUAGAUGUCUCUUUGCAGAAGUUGAACAUUGGAGGAAAAAACAGAAUAAGAUGAAAAUGGAAUCACAAAGGGUAAAAUGACUGGUUUAAGGCUAUAUGUGCAGGAUUAGAGAAGAGAUGGGGUCAAAGGGGUAUUUUUUAAUGAAGAUAAAAUUCACAUAACACAAAAUUCAGCAUUUUAACUGUUUUUAAAAUGUGUAAGUCAGUGGCUUUUACUCCAUCCACAUGUUGAACAACCAUCUCACUAUCUAAUUCCAGAAGAUUGUCAUCAUCCCCCUUACCCAUGAAACAGUCACUCCCUGUCCCCCACUCCUCUCAGCCCCUGGCAAAGACUAAUCUACUUUCUGUCUCUAAGGAGUUGUCUAUUCUGGAUGUUGUGUAUAAACUGAAUCAUACAAUA